rnacentral:ncRNA from 1 species
UGAGGAACCAAAACGCGAAUAGAUCAGAACACACAAAAAAAUACUGAAUGGCUGGCUUGAGGCAGCCACGCGUUCAUAGUGAUGUUGCUUUUUGAUCCUUCGAUGUCAGCUCCUCCCAUCAUAUUGAAGCAGAAUUCAGUAAGAGUUGGAUUGUUCGCCCACUAAUAGGGAACGUGAGCUGGGUUUAGACCGUCGUGAGACAGGCUAGUUUUACCCUA